rnacentral:rRNA from 1 species
UGAGGAAUUUUCCGCAAUGGGCGCAAGCCUGACGGAGCGACGCCGCGUGAGGGAUGAAGUAUUUCGGUAUGUAAACCUCUUUUGUGGGGGAAAAAGAUGUUCGUGCUCAUACCACGGGCAUUUGAUGGUACUCCGCGAAUAAGCCCCGGCUAACUACGUGCCAGCAGCCGCGGUAACACGUAGGGGGCGAGCGUUGUACGGAUUUACUGGGCGUAAAGGGCGUGUAGGCGGUUGGAUAAGUCUGACGUGAAAUUCUAGGGCUCAACCCUG